rnacentral:rRNA from 1 species
GGGGAUAACUACUGGAAACGGUAGCUAAUACCGCAUAACGUCGCAAGACCAAAGAGGGGGACCUUCGGGCCUCUUGCCAUCAGAUGUGCCCAGAUGGGAUUAGCUAGUAGGUGGGGUAAUGGCUCACCUAGGCGACGAUCCCUAGCUGGUCUGAGAGGAUGACCAGACACACUGGAACUGAGACACGGUCCAGACUCCUACGGGAGGCAGCAGUGGGGAAUAUUGCACAAUGGGCGCAAGCCUGAUGCAGCCAUGCCGCGUGUGUGAAGAAGCCUUCGGGUUGUAGAGCACUUUCA